AUGUACAAACUGCACAUUGCCUUAGAUUCUGAGGCUCUCAGAAUCCAGAGACAAGAUAUUUCUCCUGUAAAUGGGAUCAGCAUAGAGUUGGGGCUGAGCUGCAUUUUCCUUAUUGCUCUUUUAAAAGGUGUCCAGUGUGAAGCACAGCUUUUGGAGUCUGGGGGUGGCUUGGUGAAGCCUGGGGGGGGUCACUGAAACUCUCCUGUGUAGUCUCUGGAUUCCCCUGCAGUAUCGACGAGAUGCACUGGGUCCGCCAGGCUCCAGGGAAGGGGCUGGAAUGGGUUGGAGAUAUUAAUUAUGAUGGCAGUACCACAAACUAUGCACCAACUGUGAAGGGCCAGUUCACCAUCUCCAGAGACAAUGCCAAGAACACUCUAUUUCUGCAAAUGAACCGUGUGAAGUCUGAGGACACCGCCACUUAUUACUGUGCUAGAGACACAGUAAGUGAUCUCAGUGUAAACCCAGACAUAAACCUCACUGUGAGGCCACUCACGGCCACCAGGGGGCGCACAGCACACGCUGAACACAGGUUCAUCCCAGGAGAUUAUGCAGACAGGGUUAGAGGAAGCACCAUUGUCAGGUUCUGGGCUGCACUUUUUCCUGUUGUUUCCUGUGUCCAAACACAGGUCCAGCUGGUGCAGUCAGGAGCUGAGCUGAAGCAGCCUGGACAGUCAGUGAAGAUCUCCUGCAAGGCUUCAGGGUACACCUUCACACAAUAUGCAAUGCACUGGGUGAAGCAGUGA